GAUGAUCUGCCGCUGGUUGCGACCUCAUCGGAAAGGGACGCCACUUGGAAUAGUAUUAUUGGGAGGGGAAUAUAUCUUCUUUGCUUGCCCUCGCCCGGGAUAUUUUUCUUGCUUGACGUUGCUGGCAGCAGACAGGGAGAGGCAUGUCAUGGCCGGCCGCCGCAGUUGAUGAGACUAGCUAGUCCUAGCUAGGAGUAGCACAGUAGCCAACCCUCUGAUCGAUC
rnacentral:lncRNA from 1 species